rnacentral:rRNA from 1 species
CGGACGGGUGAGUAAUGUCUGGGAAACUGCCUGAUGGAGGGGGAUAACUACUGGAAACGGUAGCUAAUACCGCAUAACGUCGCAAGACCAAAGAGGGGGACCUUCGGGCCUCUUGCCAUCGGAUGUGCCCAGAUGGGAUUAGCUAGUAGGUGGGGUAAAGGCUCACCUAGGCAACGAUCCCUAGCUGGUCUGAGAGGAUGACCAGCCACACUGGAACUGAGACACGGUCCAG